rnacentral:lncRNA from 1 species
UUCAAAACAUGUUAUAAAUUUUCUAUAUUAUCGUGAUUAUUUUUAUUUGUCUCUUACUGUGCCUAAUUUAUAAAUUAAGCUUUAUUAUGGGAUAUAUACAUAUAUAUUUAUGAAUUAAGAUUCAUCAUGGGGUGUAUAUAUAUUAUAUACAUUAUUUUCUGCAUAUUAUUAUAUAUAUAGGAAAACAUGUUUGACAUUGUAAUUUCAGACAUCUUAAUUUCAAACUAUUUCCUUCAGAUAAAGGAAGAACACAAUCUUAUGACACAAUGAAAAAUCCAUUUAGAAGCUUUAAAUGAUUAUUUUUGUAUAAUGAAGUAAACUUUUCCUUAUGACUUUAUAGUUUUUAAUAGUUUUUUUAUAGUCUAUAUUCAUGUGUUCCUUUGAUUAGGUAGAUUUUGAAAAUGUAAGAUAAUUUUUUUUUUUUUUACAGAUAGCAGACUGAUUUCUGGUAGCCAAGUUACCAAGAUAUAAUAACUUUGCUCCUAUUACAUAAUCUGUAAAUUUAAAAACCAGUGUUGCCAAAUUUUCUAACCAGUUUCUCCACCAAUCAGCUAGCAUCAGCUUUAUGCUGACUGUGUUUUGUUUUGUUUUGUUUUGUUUUGUUUUUUUCCGGCUUGAUUUUAUCUGGCAUCUGACAUGGCUGUCUCUGCACACUGCUGUUAAGAUAGGUGGGUUUCUCUUGUAGGUUUGCAGGUGUUUCUAGAGUCCCACUAAAUUCCCUGGGAGCCCUGAACCUUUGGGAGUCAAUUCUGUGCGCCAAGUACUCCAUCAGAAGCUCCCUUCACUGGAAGACGUCACUCCCCAAGUGACUCCUGCUGCCUUUAAUCUGUCUCUUCCUUCUAACCCACUAGGUUAAAAAGGCCGUUGGGUGUAGGACUUGUUCCUCAGUGGCACUUUCUGACCCUUCUAAUACAAGUAGCUACUGUUUACUGACUGUCAUGUGCUAGGCAUUGUUUAAUGUUUUACAUAUCUUAUUUCAAAUAAUCUUUACAGUAACCUUCUGAUGUUGUUGGUUCUGUUGUUGAUAAAGACAUCUAGAGGAGUUAGUAACUUUAUGCUUCAAGGGCUUACAACCAAAGGUGACUUUACAUGGACCUCCUAAACUCAGAAUUUAAAUGUGAUCAUAACCAAUGAGCAACUUUCCUUUGGGCAAUACUUAUACCAAUUUCAUUUCUUGUCUUGCCCCAAUGAUGAAAUGAAGAGAGCUAAGCCCAUCACUGACAACCUGUUAUGAUUGAUGCUCAGAUAGUUAGCCCAGAUAACAUAGGCCUCCUCGUUCUUGGCUCCUUAGCAUCUGCAGCGAAGGUCUGCACUGUCCCCUCAGCUCUUGGAUUCUGUCACUUGGAGUUUCACAAGAACUAGUCUUUUGGUAGAUAGUCUGUGCCUCUUGCCUGCUAGCAUUUUGCCUGUUUGCCUGUUUUACACCCAGCCCUUUGACACUUUGUUCACACUAGACAAAUGAUUUGUUCCUUCAUUUCAUUAAGCACCUCUCUAGCUUUUAUCCAGUCUGAAAUUCAUUUAUAAACAGGAAUUUUACUGAUACCUUUGUUAAUCUUAAUUUUUUUAAAUCUCUUGCUCAAAUUCUGAGUAUUACGUAUGUCCCUCAGGUAGUAAUAUUGAGGGUUAUAGAAGUUUGCUCAUUAUUUGCAAUGCUUUCAUUAACCCUUGGUUCACUUCUUAUUACAUUUUUCACGGCACUUCCAUGUAUUGGCAGGAUUGGUAGCCCUGGACUAGACAGUAUCUGAAUCUGGGAUGAGGAACGUCAGAGAGUUAACCUGUGUAAUGGUUACAACCCAGCUCACCUUUGCCGAGUCCACUUUAUCACACUGUGACUCUGUAGCUGCUUCAGACCUGCUUAUAUUCCUGUGUGCCCAUUUAGCGAAACCUCUUUAGAGCUAGAACUCAUUCACAUAGCACUUAACAUCCACUGUGCCAGUACCUUUAUUUCCUUUUCUUACAAAAGUAGUUAUAAAGGUUAAAUGUAUAUAGUUAAAUCAGACACAUGACUCUUACCACUUGAACUAUGAUGACUGUUUUUUUAAAAUAUAUCCAUACAAAACCCAGGAAAAUAAGUCCAUAUAUUUUUUUCACUGCAUAUUCUUGUGUUAAUGUUUUGCAUCUUGCUAUUUUUCUUUGGGUUUUAUCCUGGAGGCUUUUCCUCUGCCUUAGACAGAUAGAUCAUGGUAGGACAGGACAGAAAGAUAGACAAUUAAGGACCUGUGGGAGGAAAAGAGCCUCCUCACUCGGGGAUCUGCUUAAAACUUUCUGACAGAUGAGUCAAGAUGGUGGAAAUCCUGCAAGGCUGCACUCGUACAUGCAGAGCUAAAGCUAACUCAUGUUUGCUAAGAGGGGCAGCCGAUCUUCUCUAGGACCAGCCCUCUGAUAGGUUAUCCAGUCCUGAGUGGUCAACUCUAACAAAUGGAGUAAUCAGGCUGCACUUACAUAUGUGCAUGCGCAUGCAUGUGUGCAGGUAACAGUAAUUAAAGGAGAUCAUGAACUUGAGUGAAUGUAAGGGGCACAUGAGCUGGAGAUGGGGAAAAGGAAGGGCAGAAAUGAAGUAAUAUAGUCCUCAUGUAUAAAAUUCUCAAAAUUUAAAAAUGUUACUUUUC